rnacentral:rRNA from 1 species
AGAGUUUGAUCCUGGCUCAGAACGAACGCUGGCGGCAGGCCUAACACAUGCAAGUCGAGCGCACCUUUCGGGGUGAGCGGCGGACGGGUUAGUAACGCGUGGGAAUAUACCCUUUGGUACGGAAUAGCCUCUGGAAACGGAGAGUAAUACCGUAUGAGCCCUUCGGGGGAAAGAUUUAUCGCCAAAGGAUUAGCCCGCGUUAGAUUAGGUAGUUGGUGGGGUAAUGGCCUACCAAGCCUACGAUCUAUAGCUGGUUUUAGAGGAUGAUCAGCAACACUGGGACUGAGACACGGCCCAGACUCCUACGGGAGGCAGCAGUGGGGAAUCUUGGACAAUGGGCGCAAGCCUGAUCCAGCCAUGCCGCGUGAGUGAUGAAGGCCUUAGGGUCGUAAAGCUCUUUCGCCUGUGAAGAUAAUGACGGUAGCAGGUAAAGAAACCCCGGCUAACUCCGUGCCAGCAGCCGCGGUAAUACGGAGGGGGUUAGCGUUGUUCGGAAUUACUGGGCGUAAAGCGCACGUAGGCGGACUGGAAAGUAUGGGGUGAAAUCCCAGGGCUCAACCCUGGAACUGCCUCAUAAACUAUCAGUCUAGAGUUCGAGAGAGGUGAGUGGAAUUCCGAGUGUAGAGGUGAAAUUCGUAGAUAUUCGGAGGAACACCAGUGGCGAAGGCGGCUCACUGGCUCGAUACUGACGCUGAGGUGCGAAAGUGUGGGGAGCAAACAGGAUUAGAUACCCUGGUAGUCCACACCGUAAACGAUGAAUGCCAGUCGUCGGGUAGCAUGCUAUUCGGUGACACACCUAACGGAUUAAGCAUUCCGCCUGGGGAGUACGGUCGCAAGA